UACGAGAGCCUCAAGCGUUAUCCGGAAUUAUUGGGCGUAAAGGGUGUGUAGGCGGUAAUGUUAGUCUCAUGUCAAAGCCUGUCGCCAAACGACAGAUCCGCAUGGGAAACGGCAUAACUAGGAGGGUGCGAGAGGUGAAUGGAACUCACGGUGUAGGGGUGAAAUCCGUUGAUAUCGUGGGGAACGCCAAAAGCGAAGGCAAUUCACUGGCGCAUACCUGACGCUGAAAACACGAAAGCCAGGGU
rnacentral:rRNA from 1 species